CCGUCCCACUCGCCUCCCCCUCCUCGUCGCCCUCCUCUCUCUCUCUCGCUGACCCCUCUCUCCCCCCGUGCAAGCCAGCCCCGGAUCUGGAGGAAGAGGAGAGAUGCGGGCGCCUCCCGUCCCACUCGCCUCCCCCUCCUCGUCGCCCUCCUCUCUCUCUCUCUCGCUAACCCCUCUCUCCCCCCGUGCAAGCCAGCCCCGGAUUUGGAGGAAGAGGAGAGAUGCGGGAUCUGGAGGAGGAAGAGGAGACCCGGGCGUCCCGGCGGUGGAUCGACCGAUGCCAGAUCGGGCAGAGGUCGCCGCCGUGGGAGGAGCAGGAAAGGGUGAGGCCUGGGCUCCACCGGCAGCGCACGCUCUUUAGGCUGGUGCUAGGCUGCAUCUUUUCCUGCCCCCGUUCUGGUGCCUCCUCCUACCCGCGUAAAUGGCGAGCAGAGGGCGUGAGUACCAGAGUUUGGAUGUGGAUGUUACUUCAGGGAGGAAGUUGGUUACAAUUUUCAUUUGUAUGAUGCAGCAGUCACAAACUAAUUUACAUAAUUUGUUGGUGUUGCGGUCUCUCCCCAUCUUAACAUUGUCUUCCGCUGCAAGGAGAGGAAAUUUGUGUAUAUCACACCUAUCAGCUACAUCCCAUGGAGAGGAAUUUUGUGUCAGGCAUUGUCAUUGGAGAAGCUUUCACAGGCAUGGCCCUUCUUUCAGUUAUAAGAUUUACAGAUAUACUGAUUCUAAAAGAUUUGAUUCACAGGUUAGUUCUAAUGGAGCGACACGUAUUGUGUUUGUGGUCUUCCAGUUUGCCUUUCUUCCAUGCAUCUGAAGGACUCAUACUUCCAUUUCCUCUUGCGAAUUCAUCCAUCCAUUCCUCUCCUUGCAGCUUUAAAUUUGUGAAAUCCAACGUAUUUAGUUAAGAGAACAUUUGCCACAUAAUUAUGCUAAUAUUCUAUGAAUAAUUGCACUUUUGUGGUUGUGCUAAUAGUAAUAGAUGACUCUUAGCGACCCUGCGCAUUCUCUAAUUUUUCGUACAUGAAAGUUUAUUAAAUGCAUGCAGUGCUUUAUCCUGAUUUGCAAGAGGAACAACAUGAAAUUCCUAUUUCACAUAAGUGAAGAAAAUCUAUAACACUGAUUGUUAUAGUUGGUGGUCUGGCGAUUCCAGUUUAUUUCUCUAAUUUGAUGUAGGAAAUGGAUUGUAAAUUGCAAGUGAGUUGGGGCUUCUGAUUGGACCUUGUGGUGGUUGGAUCUGCUGACAGAUAGGGAGAAGCAUGAUAUGUUGCUACUGCUGCACCUAUUAUUUGAUUUCUCUCAAUUUGCAAGAGGAACAACAUGAAAUUCCUAUUUCACAUAAGUGAAGAAAAUCUAUAACACUGAUUGUUAUAGUUGGUGGUCCGGUGAUUCCAGUUUAUUUCUCUAAUUUGAUGUAGGAAAUGGAUUGUAAAUUGCAAGUGAGUUGGGGCUUCUGAUUGGACCUUGUGGUGAUUGGAUCUGCUGACAGAUAGGGAGAAGCAUGAUAGUCCGAGAUUACCUGAAUGAUUCGUGGAAAUUAGAAUGUGGGGAUCUCAAAGAAUGUUUCACAAGAAAAACAAAUAUUGGCCAUUUCCAAACUUGCUCGGUGGUCGAGGUACUAUAGAGGACAUCAGUAGAAUGAAAGCAAGAGCAACCUGACAACAUUAUUGAUAGUCAACUUCCAUUAUCAGCAGCUUCACACGUGUAUAUCUUUCUUUUGGAAAUGGAAGUUGUUGUUUCUUCCCAGGUGAGCUGAGAACUAGGAAGGUGCGGAUAAUAAGAGUUGUUGACAGAGGCAACCUGCACAUGUGUAAACAGUGGCUAUGGUGGCUCAAAGGGAAGCAGCGGCCGCUCCAUGGAAACACGCAACUUAGUGAUCUAAGAUCAAUCUUCCUAUUCAUUCAUUGCACGCUGUUAUUCUGCAGGACCGGCGAAGUGCAAGGUCAUGUACAAGGGAUAAGCUGGUCAAUGAAGGAAAUUCUAAAAGAAAGCGACUACAAGCAACAUUUGAAGUGAGCUGGGAGCCGGGGUCAUCCUUCUCACCACCAGUCGAACAUACUACUUCAGCCACCAUGUUGAGCGAUAUAAAAGUGUUCUCUAUUUCAGAGAGCAACAACACGAGAUUGUGCCCCCUCUUGCUCCAGGUGCAUGUUGCUGUAAUUAGUAUCAACAGAUUAAAUCAUGGACCAUGUCUCUGUUUCAUACCACCUCUGUUCAUAAAUAGAUAGCUUCCUAGAGAUUGUGCAGUCCUAAGGCCAUCCACACUAUUGCCCGUUAAAGCGUAUUGAGUGCA